rnacentral:rRNA from 1 species
GAUGAACGCUAGCGACAGGCCUAACACAUGCAAGUCGAGGGGCAGCACAAGGAGCAAUCUGAGGUGGCGACCGGCGCACGGGUGAGUAACACGUAUGCAACCUACCUGUAAGAGGGGAAUAACCCGUUGAAAAACGGACUAAUACCGCAUAACACUGUAGAACCGCAUGGUUUGACAGUUAAACAUUUAUGGCUUACAGAUGGGCAUGCGCAUGAUUAGCUAGUUGGUGGGGUAACGGCUCACCAAGGCAACGAUCAUUAGGGGUUCUGAGAGGAAGGUCCCCCACACUGGUACUGAGACACGGACCAGACUCCUACGGGAGGCUGCAGUGAGGAAUAUUGGUCAAUGGGCGAGAGCCUGAACCAGCCAAGUCGCGUGAAGGAUGAAGGUUUUAUGAAUUGCAAACUUCUUUUGCAGGGGAAUAAAGUGUCCGACGUGUCGGAUUUUGUAUGUACUCUGCGAAUAAGGAUCGGCUAACUCCGUGCCAGCAGCCG